rnacentral:rRNA from 1 species
AUACGUAGGGGGCAAGCGUUAUCCGGAUUUACUGGGUGUAAAGGGAGCGCAGACGGCAGUGCAAGUCUGAAGUGAAAUGCCGGGGCUCAACCCCGGAAUUGCUUUGGAAACUGCAUAGCUAGAGUAUCGGAGGGGUAAGCGGAAUUCCUAGUGUAGCGGUGAAAUGCGUAGAUAUUAGGAGGAACACCGGUGGCGAAGGCGGCUUACUGGACGAUAACUGACGUUGAGGCUCGAAAGCGUGGGGAGCAAACAGGAUUAGAUCCCCUGGUAGUCCACGCCGUAAACGAUGAAUACUAGGUGUCGGCAUCUAAGAGAUGUCGGUGCCGCCGCAAACGCAUUAAGUAUUCCACCUGGGGAGUACGUUCGCAAGAAUGAAACUCAAAUGAAUUGACGGGG